GUGCUCACUCUGGCAGCAUGUAUAAUAAAUAUUGGAAUGAUACAGAUAUUAGCAUGGCCCCUGUGUAAGGAUGACAUGAAAAUUCAUAAAGCAUUCCAUACUUUU
ensembl:snRNA U6 U6 spliceosomal RNA